rnacentral:rRNA from 1 species
UACGGGGGGAGCAAGCGUUGUUCGGAUUUACUGGGCGUAAAGGGCGCGUAGGCGGUCAGCACAAGUCAGUUGUGAAAUCUCCGGGCUUAACUGGGGAACUGCGUGUGAUACUGGAUGGCUUGGAUUUGGGAGAGGGAUGCGGAAUUCCAGGUGUAGCGGUGAAAUGCGUAGAUAUCUGGAGGAACACCGGUGGCGAAGGCGGCAUUCUGGACCGAAACUGACGCUGAGGCGCGAAAGCCAGGGGAGCAAACGGG